CUUUUAUAAUGCAUUGACAAGGGCAUAAAGAACCCUUCUUUAAACAAUUAAACUGGUUGCAUCUGUUCAUAUUGGAGUGGCAAUGUGUGAGCACAGUGGAUGUCUCUUUUUUCUAAGGAAGGCAGCAUGUCAGAUCCCUAAAAGUGAUACUGCCAUUCAGUUGGGAGAAGUGGGGUCAUGAGUUCGAUUCAUUACUAUUGCCUGUGACAACUGCUAUUUUAUAACUUGUAUCCUGGCGCUGAAGCACCCUGAGAUUUUCUUACCUCUUAGGGAAUGUGGUAGGUGGGAGGGCCAUGUGGGUUUUUUCAUUUUGAAAGCCAGUGGAGAUGGCCAUGGGAAUGCCUACUUAUCUAUUUCUCAGAGAGGUUGGUACAACAACAUCUUCACACUUGUGGAUUGGCUGAAUCUGCAUCUGACUAAAGGGAGGGGUCUCUACUGCUUUAAUUCUACUUGUCUUGCCUAAGGGUAUUCAGAUGCUGCUUUGAAUGUAUUGCUGUCACUUCUGUUUAAUAAAAGGUUCCUUU